rnacentral:rRNA from 1 species
GACGAACGCUGGCGGCGUGCCUAAUACAUGCAAGUAGAACGCACAGUUUAUACCGUAGCUUGCUACACCAUAGACUGUGAGUUGCGAACGGGUGAGUAACGCGUAGGUAACCUGCCUGGUAGCGGGGGAUAACUAUUGGAAACGAUAGCUAAUACCGCAUAAUAUUAAUUAUUGCAUGAUAAUUAAUUGAAAGGUGCAAUUGCACCACUACCAGAUGGACCUGCGUUGUAUUAGCUAGUAGGUGAGGUAACGGCUCACCUAGGCGACGAUACAUAGCAGACCUGAGAGGGUGAUCGGCCACACUGGGACUGAGACACGGCCCAGACUCCUACGGGAGGCAGCAGUAGGGAAUCUUCGGCAAUGGACGAAAGGCUGACCGAGCAACGCCGCGUGAGUGAAGAAGGUUUUCGGAUCGUAAAGCUCUGUUGUAAGAGAAGAACGGGUGUGAGAGUGGAAAGUUCACACUGUGACGGUAUCUUACCAGAAAGGGACGGCUAACUACGUG